GUCAACAGCCAUGCCACCCUGAACGUGCCUGAUCUCAUCUGAUCUCGGAAGAUGAGCAGCGUUGGGCCUGGUUAGUACUUGGAUGGAGGACCACCUAGGAAGACCAGGUGCUGUAGGUU
rnacentral:rRNA from 1 species